rnacentral:rRNA from 1 species
CUGACGAGCACGCCGCGUGAGUGAGAGGUUUUCGGAUCGUAAAGCUCUGUUGUAAGUCAAGAACGAGUGUGAGAGUGGAAAGUUCACACUGUGACGGUAGCUUACCAGAAAGGGACGGCUAACUACGUGCCAGCAGCCGCGGUAAUACGUAGGUCCCGAGCGUUGUCCGGAUUUAUUGGGCGUAAAGGGAGCGCAGGCGGUCUGGUAAGUCUGAAGUAAAAGGCUGUGGCUCAACCAUAGUGUGCUCUGGAAACUGUCUGACUUGAGUGCAGAAGGGGAGAGUGGAAUUCCAUGUGUAGCGGUGAAAUGCGUAGAUAUAUGGAGGAACACCAGUGGCGAAAGCGGCUCUCUGGUCUGUCACUGACGCUGAGGCUCGAAAGCGUGGGUAAGCGAAACA